rnacentral:rRNA from 1 species
CACGUAGGGGACGAGCGUUGUCCGGAUUCAUUGGGCGUAAAGGGCGCGUAGGCGGCCCCGUAAGUCUUGGGUGAAAGCCCUCGGCUCAACCGAGGAAUUGCCUUGGAUACUGCGGGGCUCGAGGCUGGAAGAGGGCAGUGGAAUUCCCGGUGUAGCGGUGGAAUGCGUAGAUAUCGGGAGGAACACCAGUGGCGAAGGCGGCUGCCUGGGCCAGUUCUGACGCUGAGGCGCGAAAGCGUGGGGAGCAAACAGG